AUCUCUACCUGAGAUCAGUGAUUUCACAGCAAAGCAGAUUACAAUUGUCUAUUAGACAAAAGCCACCAUUUUAUUCUUUAUGAAAUUAUGGAGUUUGAAUGAUUUCGUGUAGUUCAUCAACUGUCUACAUAGCAUGCAGAGCAACGCACGAAAUCCUAAGCCCCAGAUGAUUCACUGAUCGAUUUUAACGUCCACAAAAGAAGUAAGUUACCCCUGGAAGAAGAGUAGGACUAAAGAAAAACAUGGUUUUGGUUUGAUAGCCUGGAAAUGAGCACUCUAAAUGGCAAAUCUUUUUUUUUUUUUUGUCUUUUUGCCAUUUCUUGGGCCGCUCCCGCGGCAUAUGGAGGUUCGCAGGCUAGGGCUAUCUACCAUCUUUUAAUGCCCCGACAGAACACUUUGGCUUCGUAAGGCAAUCUGCAUUUGCCUGAAUUUAAAGUCAUGUUAUUCCCCAACCUGAGUCUAAUGGAAGAGGAGACAGUGCAAUUCUUCCAGCUUCAAACAGGGGCAAAAGCUUGCUAAACCAAGCCUGAUCUGCAGCCACUCAUCCAUACUAAGGAACUAGAAAGAAGAGACUUUGCUUCCUAUAGCAUCCUGAAAAGGUUCUUUUACGUCUAAAAAUCACACUUAUUGUAAGAAUGAACAAAUAAUGAAUGAAAAAAAAAAAUUCCAGUAUCAUGGCCCACACUGAAUUUACCCCUGAAGACAGGAUUUGGGGGUAGCUCGGUUGUAUCAAAUUGACAGAUAAUCUGAAAACCUUAUGUCUGCCAUGGCUCCCAGCCUCCUUCCCACCAAGCUUUUUACCAGACUUGACCCCUGUUCCUGGCCCUGCCCCCCAUCUGGUGGAGGCGCUAAUGAGCAGUGAAAUGGCCAAAGGGCAGGCAGCAGGGGGGAGCAGGGAAAACAAAGGCAAAAAGGGGACAGGAGACGGGAUCCUCUACAAACUCGACAAUCAGUCUCUGGAUAAUAGAGCUGUCUGCAGCCAUAAACAGAGCUGGUUGUAGGCUUUUGUGUUUUCCAACUCCAAAUGCUUGACAGCCAUUAGUUCUGCAAAGCAUGUUCCUAUCAAGCCUUUAAAUGGGAGAAGAAGCCUAGGUACAUAAAGCGACAUGCCCAAAGUACCCAGCUCAUCGAGACCGUCUUCAUCUCAGUCCAGAGAAGAAAUGGGAGGCUUGAUUAAAUCCCGCUGGAUUGAAAUUUUGCCAAAAAGAGUGAACUAUUUAUGUCCAAUAUAGAAGAGUUUAGAAUCAAGAAUUCCUUGGUUUAAAAAAAAAAUCUUAAAAUAAAAACAGAUUCCUCUCUUAAAAACAAAACAAACGUGUUUCUUGAAAUGUGGAGGAACAGUCUGACCUAUCCUACCUAGUUAAAACAGAAUACAUGGCAUAUUAGUUUUAUUUAUAUAUGAUGUGAGGGUUUCCGGCAUUUUAGAAAUAUUUACUGCCAUCCAUAAAUACCC
rnacentral:lncRNA from 1 species